rnacentral:rRNA from 1 species
AUGGCUUGGGGGCGCGGCGGCUGCUGCCAGAGCAGGGCGACGACGGGAAGUAGUCAUAAAGAUGCCAUACGGCACCGGGGUGUUGAUGCGAAGCUUCUGGAGGCGACGGCGAGGUCUGCCUCUCGACCUCCCGAUCAAAUCGAGCUCGGCCGCGCCGAGCGGGCAGGGGCGCGGGCGCGCUGGAGCUCGGCCUUGCCGAAGCGGGAUGGGGCGCGGCGCGCAGGAGAUCGUACUCGACGGAGCGGUCAUGUGCGAGGGCUCGCUGAAGCUCGGCCUCGCCGGAUUAGGCGACGUCCGCUUCAUGUAUGUACGCAUCUGGCCGGAAUAAUUUCAGGUGCUUCCGAAGCAAAGUUUACAGGGACAUGUAUUUCCUCAUUCACGUGUACUGCUCGAAGAUCCACAACGCAGCCCAAUGGAAUCCCGAAGCCGCCGCAACAGUUCGUUUGGAGGCUGGGUGUGGUCGACGGCGGAGUGCUCUCGAUGGCGAUGCCGACACGCUCGAACGCCUGA